GGAACCAAAGCAAUGCAUGAGAAAACAUUUACAACACACAUUAUUCUCUUUGAAGGAGGGCGCCCUUUUUUUUUAUUAUUUUUUUUUUUUUUAUUUUUGUACAUGUUCUUCGGAAUCGGUAUUUCAUUAGGACAGAAGUGGAAGGAAGGCGACCUUAGGGAAUCCGUAGCAUUGUUAAGACCGUAAGAGGGAAACUCAGAGUGCUACAAAAGAACAGAUACAAAGGCUAGAUACCACAAGCACACACCUACAAGCUAGCCACGCUUCACUGUCUGGUUCCAAAGGUUUUACCAUCCAGCCUGGUAUUCUCGUCGGAAUGCUGGUUUGUUUCUGUAAAGAGCUCAGUGCUGUGUCUCUGAGGAUCUGGUUAAUCAAUAAGGCCUUUCCAGUCUGUUAUAUUUUAAGCACGUGUCCUUCAGUAAGUCCUAAGAGGUGUUAAGGAAGCUAAGACUGCCAUUCACCUGAUUGUCUUGUCCACCAUGAAGAGAACCAUCACCGCUUUCUGAGCCUUUGCAUCAGACAUUUUCUGUCUGGACUCCCGUCUGUGAGUGCCGCCACACUGCAAAAACCUCACUUGAGACCGUCUGUCUCUUGCUUGGUAUGAAAAACAGAGGCACCACAAAGUGUACCACAAAGAGGUACAAAGUGCAAAAGGGCCCAGGCAGGCACGGUGCUUUGGGGGUGCUGGAAGAACAUAUGAACAACCCAUUGCCCCCAGCAGAGAAAGGGCACCAGAGGCAAGCCUAGAGCCUGGAGGUAAGGACUGUUCAAAGCUCCAUGGGGGUCAUCUACUUAGCUAUUUCUCAAAAGAGGUAAUGUCGGAAAUCUCCUAAGGGAGGGUUUUUUUUUUUUUUUUUUUUUUUGAUAUGGCAUGGAUUUAGUAGGGUAGGGGCAACAAAGUCCCUUAUUUGGACUCGAGAUAUGAGACAUUUAGGGCAAUAAUAAUUGAAAAUGAGGAUGUUGACAGAAAAGACUGGAACUAAAGAGGUGAAAGAAAAAGCAGCUGAGAGAGAACGUUUCAAUAAAUCAUUAUCUACCACUGGAUUCAAUGGCUACUGACGUGUAACAGAAUGAACUAUCUAGCCAGGUGGUCUUUAACGGAUGAUCGUGUUAAGUAACAGCUUGGUAGAUAAGAUCAGGCUUGUUCGCAGACCUUGCUGCUUAUGCCUCUUCCCCCACUCCCAGCCCCAGGAAAGCAGUAGCAAAGUAGCAAACCUUAAUAUGGUUCAAUAUAGACAGAUAUAAAAUGUUGCUUUGGACUAAAGCCUAACACAGUGAGAAUGAGCACCAGAUGUCUGUUGAAACGUGAAGUCCAGAGGCCACAGCAAAAUGCUAGACAGACUUGCUCAGAUGGAUCCGGGUCAGGCAAAUUAGGGCUUGGCUUCUGGCUUUACGGGACACAUCAAGACUUGGAAUACAUGAGAUGAGGCAUGGACCUGAGGGUUAUAAAAAGACUAAAGAAUGAAAGGUUGGCUUGAGUGUCAGUCAGGGAACAAGAGGAUGAGUACAUUUCCACUGCUAUCAAGACUACGUGUGUUCUGUAAGGUGGGGAAGAGGCAUGACAUUGAAAGGAGUGGCAAAGCCUCCCAGGCCUCCAGGUCAAUGAUAGAAUAGGGUGAGGGAGCCAACUCAGACACAUGGCAAAGAAGAAGCCAACAAAGUUAGUAGGCAAAGGUGAGAGAUGACGGCCCGGCCAUGCCAUACACAGAUAAAGCCAACCAGAGGUGCAAAGGGUUUUUCGAGAAGCCGAAGGGUGGGUUGGAGGACACCCGAUGAUGUUAGACUGGAGAGUUGAGAAUGGCCAUCUUUUGUUUCCAUAAUGAAAAACGGCAAACAGAAUGGUUACUUGCUCUCCACAGGGAAACAUCCACACAGGAUGAAAGCAAACGGGAAAGAAGGGAAGAUGCCUAAAAAUGCUACCAGCCUGGUGCCAACUGGAUGGGCAGGGCAAGUGUAAAUGAAGACAAAUCAGGAAAAGGGGCUUACGCAGACCUUUACAAGAGGACAACAGAGAGGCAGAGAAGACCGAAGUGGAAUAGAGCAGAUCUGCUAAGUUAUUCUUCACCUAACUGGUUUAUUAGCUAAACCCUCUACCAGGGUUCAAGUUCAGGGGUUGCCUACUACCUAUCCAAGCAAUUUCGUUUGUUUGAGGCAGGAUUUUACUCCAUAGCCCUAGCUGGCCUGGAACUCACAGAGAUCUGCCGGUUUCAGCCCCUCAAGUGCUGGAUUAAAGGUUUGCACCAUCAUUGCCUGGCUCUAUCCGAGCUUUUGGAACACUUUCCCUCUGGUCUAUCCCACUCCAGCUACACCGAGCACUCCUUUUUGGCCCUGUAACUUGACAAAGAGCAAUCUACUAGAGUCUGUGUGCAAGAGUACUUCCUGAUAGCCCAGCAGGUGGUUCCCCCAGUCCAAUUACUCACCCAUGUGGGUGUCUGUGACUACACUAUGUAAAUGUAGCAUCACUCCCUCCGCCAACCCCCUGCCCUGCACCUCCCAAUCUGAUCCUGUUUGAUUCUGCUUCUGGUCAGAGAGGCAGGAAAUCCUCCUCACAGGUACCAAGUAUUCGUUGAAUGAAUCAGAGGAACAGGAGAUUUGAACAACAAAAACCAUCAAAGCAGUUAGCAGCUAAUUUAGCAGGGAGACAGGGACUAAUUCCCAGGUAAUGAUCUAAAAUGAUGACGGGGCAGGAUCCAGCUCCUUAGAAUUGGAGUGGCUGUACUAUUUGAUGGUCCUUGCCCUUACUGCACUUCAGAAGUGGAGAAGUACUUCCCUCAGUUCUACAGCAGAAAAACAAAACGUGAAAGACCCUUUGACUCUCAGUGGAUUCACCUCAGAGCAGGCUUAUGAUGAAAAGGAUCCUAAGUUGAAUCCUUGAAUUUUGAAUGCCACACACUCCAGGACUUAGCGACCACUUUCCAUCCCUGUCCUUAACCUCUAGUUAUUCAUUAAGACAUGCCCCGGACUAAAGACUGGUGAUUUCCAAAGCCAUCUUAUUGAAAAAGACUUUUAGUGUAGUUUAUCUCAUGAAGAUACUGUAAUGACCACAGAAGUUGGCUAGGAGCAUCUCAGUUUUACAAAACCAAAAGGAUGGUACACAUACCAACUGCAUGGCCGCAGAUGGUACAAGGACGGCGGCCAUCAGAAAAGGUUGCAAUCUAGUUUAAACUUGACUCACUGAAAUUUAAUGUCCGACAGUGCCUGCCACAGGGGCUAACUAUUAAAGAACUAAGAAUUUCCAUCAAGGAAAAUACUGUCAAGACACAAAAUAACUCACUAAAUUCAGGGGGAUUGCGGGGUUGGGUGGAUGGGAUCUCAGACAGCUAUGAAAAUUUCAAGAGUACAUGAAACAGAGCAAAAGAGUUUGCCCUGUGCACGUAGUACAUUCUGUAGUUCUAGUUCUCCUUCUUUGCAGAGAUAGGAAUUCCCAUUGCAUUGAUGCGAUACAUUUUCACCCCAUGUGAUUAAUUAAAGUGCUGACCUGUCGACGCUAUCUAGGAAACUUCAAAACCACCCAUCUCAGAAAUUCCACCUGAAGUCUGUGGUGAGCGUCACUGUCCUAUCUUCCUCUGACCUGAGUUGUGGCUGUGAGGAAGGCUUGGGCUCCGUUACAUCUGAAGCAGUGAUUCUCUGCCGUGCUCGGUCUCUGAGCUGUUGUUCAGAAGGAAAUCUUGGAAGCAUGUUAUCAGAACAGAGCCGUGGCAGAGGCAACACGAGGCUUGUGCACUAGAGUUUUUGAUACUCAGGUGCCACCAGCUGGGGCUCUUCAAAGUGGUCUCAAGGGUGAAGCCAACUCCUACCGUUUGUUCCAAAGUGAGAGAGGUAAGCUUUCUAAGCCUCAGUUUUCCCAUAAGUACAAUGGGAGUUUACAGGGUUAUUAUUUACACAAUUCAUAUAAAAUGCUUGGCAUACUGGAAAUACUUUGUAAAUUACUAGUUUACGGGGCCAAAACCCCACUGCUAACAUGGGGGGG
rnacentral:sRNA from 1 species